AUGAUACUCUCUCCGUCCAACAAAAGAUGUCUCAAGUUUGUCAAAAUUUAGAUGUAUCUAGACAUGACUUAGUGUAUAGAUGCAUUCAAAUUUAGUCAAAGUUGAGACAUCUUUUGUUGGACAGAGGGAGUAUUAC
rnacentral:pre_miRNA from 1 species